UUGGAACUGGGUAAUAGACCGGAGGUUGGAACAGUUUGGAGGGCUCAGAACAAGACAGGAAAAUGUGGGACAGUUUGGAACUCCCUAGAGACUUGUUGAAUGUCUUUGAACAAAAUGCUGAUAAUGAUAUGGAUGAUGAAAUUCAGGCUGAGGUGCUUUCAGAUGGAGAUGAGGAACUUCUUGGGAACUGGAGCAAAGGUGACUCUUGUUAUGUUUUACUAAAGCGACUGGCAGCAUUUUGCCCCUGCCUUAGAGAUUUGUGGAACUUUAAGCUUGAGAGAGAUGAUUUAGGGUAUCUGGUGGAAGAAAUUUCUAAGCAGCAAAGCAUUCAAGAGGCAACUUGGGUGCUGUUAAAGGCAUUCAGUUUUAUAAGGGAAGCAGAGCAUAAAAAUUUGGAAAAUUUGCAGCCUGACAAUGCAAUAGAAAAGAAAAUCCCAUUUUCUGAGGAGAAAUUCAAGCUGGCUGCAGAAAUUUGCAUAAGCAACCAGGAGGCAAAUGUUAAUCCCCAAGACAAUGAGAAAAAUGUCUCCAGGGCAUGUCAGAGGUCUUCACAGCAGCCCCUCCCAUUACCCAGAGUACUAGGAGGAAAAAGUGGUUUCGUGGGCUGGGCCCAGGAUUCUCAUGCUGUGUGCAGUCUAGAGACUUGGUGCCCUGCAUCCUAGCCACUCCAGCCAUGGCUGAAAGGGCCCAACAUAGAGCUCGGGCCAUGGCCUCAGAGGGUGCAAGCCUCAAGCCUUGGCUGCUUUCAUGUGGUGUUGAGUCUGCGAGUGCACAGAAGUGAAGAAUUAGGGUUUGGGAACCUCCACCUAGAUUUCAGAAGAUAUAUGGAAACGCCUGGAUGCGCAGGCAGUAGUUUGCUGCAGGGGCAGGAUCCUCAGGGAGAACCUCUUCUAGGGCAGUGCAGAAGGGAAAUAUGGGGUGGGAGCCCCCACACAGAGUCCCUACUGGGGCACUGCCUAGUGGAACUGUGAGAAGAGGGCCACCAUUCUCCAGACCCUAGAAUAGUAGAGCCACCGACAGCUUGCACCAUGCACCUGGAAAGGCCACAGACACUUAAUGUCAGCCUGUGAAAGCAGCCAGGAGGGAGGCUGUACCUUGCAAAGCUACGGGGACAGAGCUGCCCAAGACUAUGGGAACCUACCUCUUGCAUCAGCGUGACCUGGAUGUGAGACAUGGAGUCGAAGGAGGUCAUUUUGGAGCUUUAAGAUUUGACUGCCCCACUGGAUUUUGGACUUGCAUUGGGCCUGUAGCCUUUUUGUUUUGGCCAAUUUCUCCCAUUUGUAAUGGCUAUAUUUACCCAAUGCCUAUACCCCCAUUGUAUCUAGGAAGUAACUAACUUGCUUUUGAUUUUACAGGCUCAUAGGCAGAAGGGACUUACCUUGUCUCAGAUGUGGACUUUUGAGUUAAUGCUGAAAUGAGUUGAGACUUUGGGGGACUGUUGGGAAGGCAUGAUUGGUUUUGAAAUGUGAACAUAUGUGAUUUGGGAAGGGCCAGAGUUGGAAUGAUAUGGUUUGGCUCUAUGUCCCCACCCAAAUUUCAUCUUGUAGCUCCCAUAAUUCCCAUGUGUCAUGGGAGGGAACCAGUGGGAGAUGAUUGAAUCACAGGGGUGGGUCUUUUCCAUGUUGUUCUCAUGAUCGUGAAUGGGUCUCAUGAGAUCUGAUGGUUUUAAAAACAGGAGUUUCUGUGUACAAGCCCUCUCUUUGCCUGCUUCCAUCCAUGUAAGAUGUGACAUGCUCCUCCUUGCCUUCUGACAUGAUUGUGAAGCUUCCCCAGUCAUGUGGAACUGUAAAUCCAAUAAACCUCUUUCUUUUGUAAAUUGCCCAGUCUCAGAUAUGUCUUUAUCAGCAGCGUGAAAACGGACUAAUACACAUGGUGAAUGUGAAAGUGAUCACACAUACAGAGAGAGAGAGAGUGGCAUUUCGAGAGUGGCAUUUCUAUGGAACGUUUUGACUAGCUGACCCAACCAGGGCAUUACCUAGUGGCAUUAGUUGAGCUGCUCUCCCAUGUUCUGGUUCCUAUGCACGAUGGGUCCAGAAACUCUUGUUAAUUCCCUGGAGUUGAUUUGGAUCAGGGAGACUGACUCCCCCAAAACCAAAUUGAUAAGAAAUGAAAGUGUAAAUGAGUUUAGCUGUUUAUUAUUUACAAUGCAAACCAAAAUGGUGAUGUUGGCAAAACCAAUGUAUUCUUUCUUUGUAAGCAGAAGUUAAAUGAUAAGAGGAUGGAUUCUUGGUUUGGAUGAUGGUUUUAUGGGUAGUGGUUAUUUUUUUCUCAGUGCUGAUCUGUGUUGAAAUUUUUGUCACAUAUUGCUUUUUUUUUUAAAGCAAAAGGAAUCAAAAGUGAUUUUUAAUAAGAUAAAGGAAAAGCAUUAGUUGUUAAAUAAAGAAACAUUUGUUCCGUAGUUACUAUGUGUCGAUUUUGUAGUAUAGCUCUCAGAAAUUUGGGAUGUUUUGGGUGAAUGUAUUUUAUAUCUACACACACUUAUGUGUGUGUAUAUAUAUAAAUCAUUUCUCCUUUUUCUUAUGAAGAUAUUUCAUUAAUAUAUUAUAGUUUGAAAGAGAUUCAUUUUUAUACUUUUGAGUUUUUCCACAUUUCACCAUUAGGAUUUUUAUGGUUUUCCUCCAAAGGACACUUAAUAAAAUUCAUCAACACUUAUUUUUGGUUAAUUAAGAUGUGUUUAUUAAUAUUGAAGCAAAUAUGUAGUGUCUUCUAUUUGAUUUUAACUUGGAGCAGAAUCUCUUUUCCCUUGGGUGAGUAUCUGUCAGUAUUAUAUGUUCAUUUUUAAUAGCUGAUGAAUGGCAUAGAGAGACAACUCUUUUUUUUCUUUCUCCAGGAAAUCUAUACCUUUGGAAGAAUAUUGGGAAAAGGGAGCUUUGGAAUGGUCAUUGAAGCGACAGACAAGGAAACAGAAACGAAGUGGGCAAUUAAAAAAGUGAACAAAGUAAAGGCUGGAAGCUCUGCUGUGAAGUUACUUGAACGAGAGGUGAACAUUCUGAAAAGUGUAAAACAUGAACACAUCAUACAUCUGGAACAAGUAUUUGAAACGCCAAAGAAAAUGUACCUUGUGAUGGAGCUUUGUGAGGAUGGAGAACUCAAAGAAAUUCUGGAUAGGAAAGGGCAUUUCUCAGAGAAUGAGACAAGGUGGAUCAUUCAAAGUCUCGCAUCAGCUAUAGCAUAUCUUCACAAUAAUGAUAUUGUACAUAGAGAUCUGAAACUGGAAAAUAUAAUGGUUAAAAGCAGUCUUAUUGAUGAUAACAAUGAAAUAAACUUAAACAUAAAGGUGACUGAUUUUGGCUUAGCGGUAAAGAAGCAAAGUAGGAGUGAAGCCAUGCUGCAGGCCACAUGUGGGACUCCUAUCUAUAUGGCCCCUGAAGUUAUCAGUGCCCACGACUAUAGCCAGCAGUGUGACAUUUGGAGCAUAGGCGUCAUAAUGUACAUGUUAUUACGUGGAGAACCACCCUUUUUGGCAAGCUCAGAAGAGAAGCUUUUUGAGUUAAUAAGAAAAGGAGAACUACAUUUUGAAAAUCCAGUCUGGAAUUCCAUAAGUGACUGUGCUAAAAGUGUUUUGAAACAACUUAUGAAAGUAGAUCCUGCUCACAGAAUCACAGCUAAGGAACUACUAGAUAACCAGUGGUUAACAGGCAAUAAACUUUCUUCGGUGAGACCAACCAAUGUAUUAGAGAUGAUGAAGGAAUGGAAAAAUAACCCAGAAAGUGUUGAGGAAAACACAACAGAAGAGAAGAAUAAGCCGUCCACUGAAGAAAAGUUGAAAAGUUACCAACCCUGGGGAAAUGUCCGUGAUGCCAAUUACACUUCAGAUGAAGAGGAGGAAAAACAGUCUACUGCUUACGAAAAGCAAUUUCCUGCAACCAGUAAGGACAACUUUGACAUGUGCAGUUCAAGUUUCACAUCUAGCAAACUCCUUCCAGCUGAAAUCAAGGGAGAAAUGGAGAAAACCCCUGUGACUCCAAGCCAAGGAACAGCAACCAAGUACCCUGCUAAAUCCGGGGCCCUGUCCAGAACCAAAAAGAAACUCUAAGGUUCCCUCCAGUGCUGGACAGUACAAAAACAAAGCUGCUCUUGUUAGCACUUUGAUGAGGGGGUAGGAGGGGAAGAGGACAGCCCUAUGCUGAGCUUAUAGCCUUUUAGCUCCACAGAGCCCCGCCAUGUGUUUGCACCAGCUUAAAAUUGAAGCUACUUAUCUCCAAAGCAGCAUAAGCUGCACGUGGCAUUAAAGGACAGCCACCAGUAGGCUUGGCAGUGGGCUGCAGUGGAGAUCAACUCAAGAUGUACACGAAGGUUUUUUAGGGGGGCAGAUACCUUCAGUUUAAGGCUGUGGGCACACUUGCUCAUUUUUACUUCAAAUUCUUAUGUUUAGGCACAGCUAUUUAUAGGGGAAAACAAGAGGCCAAAUAUGGUAAUGGAGGUGCCAAAUAAUUAUGUGCACUUUGCACUAGAAGACUUUGUUAGAAAAUUACUAAUAAACUUGCCAUAGGUAUUACAGCAGAAGUGCUUCAGUCAUUCACAUGUGUUCGUGAGAUUUUAGGUUGCUAUAGAUUGUUUAAGACAGCUUAUUUUAAAUGUAGAAAAAUAGGAGAUUUUGUAACUGCUUGCCAUUAACUUGCUGCUAAAUUCCCAAUGUGUUGAUUAAAUCAAUAAAAAACAGAUGUUACUCAGC
rnacentral:sRNA from 1 species